rnacentral:hammerhead_ribozyme from 1 species
AUUCAGCUGACGAAUCUCAAAUAGGGCGAAACUUGCGUCCUGGAU